CGGAGUGGCGGAGACGGGCGCCGCGAGGCGCCCAGUGCGGUGACGCAACCGAUCCCGGAGAAGCCGGCGGGAGCCCCGGGGAGAGUUCUCUUUUCUUUGUGAAGGGCCGGGCGCCCUGGAAUGGGUUCGCCCCGAGAGAGGGGCCCGCGCCUUGGAAAGCGUCGCGGUUCCGGCGGCGUCCGGUGAGCUCUCGCUGGCCCGUGAAAAUCCGGGGGAGAGGGUGUAAGUCUCGCGCCGGGCCGUACCCAUAUCCGCAGCAGGUCUCCAAGGUGAACAGCCUCUGG
rnacentral:ncRNA from 1 species